rnacentral:rRNA from 1 species
GUGUCCAUUGGGCUGGAUGCACGG